rnacentral:rRNA from 1 species
UACGGAGGGUGCAAACGUUGCUCGGAAUCAUUGGGCGUAAAGCGCACGUAGGCGGCGGCAUCAGCGGGAUGUGAAAGCCCAGGGCUCAACCCUGGAAGUGCAUCCCGAACUGUGUCGCUUGAAUCUCGGAGGGGGACAGAGAAUUCCCGGUGUAGAGGUGAAAUUCGUAGAUAUCGGGAGGAAUACCAGUGGCGAAGGCGCUGUCCUGGACGAAGAUUGACGCUGAGGUGCGAAAGCGCGGGGAGCAAACAGG